GACGAACGCUGGCGGCGUGCUUAACACAUGCAAGUCGAGCGGUAAGGCCCUUUCGGGGGUACACGAGCGGCGAACGGGUGAGUAACACGUGGGUGACCUGCCUUUAGCUCUGGGAUAAGCCUGGGAAACCGGGUCUAAUACCGGAUAUGACUCCGCGGCGCAUGUUGUGGGGUGGAAAGCCUUGUGCGGCUGGAGAUGGGCCCGCGGCCUAUCAGCUUGUUGGUGGGGUGAUGGCCUACCAAGGCGACGACGGGUGGCCGGCCUGAGAGGGCGACCGGCCACACUGGGACUGAGACACGGCCCAGACUCCUACGGGAGGCAGCAGUGGGGAAUCUUGCGCAAUGGGCGAAAGCCUGACGCAGCGACGCCGCGUGAGGGAUGACGGCCU
rnacentral:rRNA from 1 species